CUGUAAAGAUGACUGCAAGAGCACAGCGCAGACUGCUCAAUGAGGUGAAGAAGAAUCCUGGAGUGUCAGCUAAAGACUUACAAAAGUCACUGGCAAAUGCUAACAUCCCUGUUAGCGAAUCUACUAUACGUAAAACUCUAAACAAGAAUGGACUUCAUGGGAGGAUACCACAGAGGAAGCCACUGCUGUCCAAACAAAACAUUGCUGCAUGUUUACAGUUUGCACAAGAGCACCUGGAUGUUCCACAGCAGUACUGGCAAAAUAUUCUGUGGACAGAUGAAACCAAAGUUGAGUUGUCGAAAAAGAGGCACAGCACACCAACAUCAAAACCUCAUCCCAACUGUGAAGUAUGGAGGUGGGGGCAUCAUGGUUUGGGGCUGCUUUGCUGCGUCAGGGCCUGGACAGAUUGCUAUCAUCGAAGGAAAAAUGAAUUCCCAAGUUUAUCAAGACAUUUUGCAGGAGAACUUAAGGCCAUCUGUCUACCAGCUGAAGCUCAACAGAAGAUGGGUGUUGCAACAGGACAAUGACCCAAAGCAUAGAAGUAAAUCAACAACAGAAUGGCUUA